AUGGAGACGACGAGGGGGUUCUUGGGGUUGCCGUCGUGGUGUAUCGUCCUCUUGUGCCUGGCCGCCGGUUGGAUGGUGGCGGCGGAGGCGGCUGCGUUGCCGCAGUACUACAACGCCAUAUUCAGCUUCGGCGACUCCUUCUCCGACACGGGCAACUUCGUCAUCAUCAACUCCGGCAAGCUGCCCAACAUGCCCAAGUUCCCGCCGCCCUACGCCCGCUGCUCCAACGGCCGUCUCGUCAUUGACUUCCUGGCCGAGAGGUUGGGAGUGCCGCUGCUGCCGCCGUCGGCGAACAAGGGCACCAACUUCAGCCAGGGCGCCAACUUCGCUGUCAUGGGCGCCACCGCGCUGGACCUCAAGUACUUCAGGGACAACAACGUGUGGAGCAUCCCGCCCUUCAACACUUCCAUGAACUGCCAGCUCGAGUGGUUCCAGGAGGUUAAGGAGACCAUCUGCUCCUCCCCACAAGAGUGCAAGGAAUUUUUCGGGAAGGCGCUUUUCGUGUUCGGCGAGUUGGGCGGCAACGACUACAGCUUCGCGUGGAAGGCGGAGUGGAGCUUGGAAAAGGUGAAGACCCAGAUGGUGCCCAAGGUGGUGGAGUCCAUCAUCGGCGGCAUCGAGGCUCUGCUCGACGAGGGCGCGCGGCACGUGCUUGUGCCGGGCAACCUCCCCGCUGGGUGCAUCCCCAUCACGCUCACCAUGUACCCGUCCGAGGACCGUAGCGACUACGACCCCCGCACCGGCUGCCUCAAGAAGUUCAACGGCGUCGCCCUCUACCACAACGCCGUGCUCCGCGUCGCCCUCAACCAGCUCCAGCGCCGCCGCCCGGAUUCCCGCAUCAUCUACGCCGACUACUACACCCCCUACAUCCAGUUCGCACGCACACCUCACCUCUACGGGUACAAGAGGGGAGCCCUGAGGGCGUGCUGCGGCGGCGGGGGCCCGUACAACUACAACAUGAGCUCGUCGUGCGGGCUGCCCGGUGCCACGGUGUGCGACGACCCAGACGCGCAUGUCAGCUGGGACGGCAUCCACCUCACCGAGGCGCCCUACCGCUUCAUCGCCAACACCUGGCUCAAGGGCCCCUAUGCGCACCCGCCCCUCGCCAGUGUCGUCCGCGACGAUAUGGUCUAUUAA
rnacentral:rRNA from 1 species